rnacentral:rRNA from 1 species
CAGUCGCCGCGGUAAUACGAAGGGUGCAAGCGUUAAUCGGAAUUACUGGGCGUAAAGCGUGCGUAGGCGGUUUGUUAAGUCUGUUGUGAAAUCCCCGGGCUCAACCUGGGAAUGGCAAUGGAUACUGGCAAGCUAGAGUGUGUCAGAGGAUGGUGGAAUUCCCGGUGUAGCGGUGAAAUGCGUAGAGAUCGGGAGGAACAUCAGUGGCGAAGGCGGCCAUCUGGGACAACACUGACGCUGAGGCACGAAAGCGUGGGGAGCAAACAGGAUUAGAUACCCGCGUAGUCCCUGUCUCUUAUAC